GCCGUGGCUUGGUGGUAGAGAAUCUGCUUUGCAUGCAGGGGGUCCCAGGUUCAAACCUGGCUUCUCCA